rnacentral:rRNA from 1 species
GUCGAGAAUUUUUCACAAUGGGGGAAACCCUGAUGGAGCGACGCCGCGUGGGGGAUGAAUGGCUUCGGCCCGUAAACCCCUGUCAUUUGCGAGCAAAGCGCAUUAUUUAAAAGAUGAUGUGUUGAUAGUAGCGGAAGAGGAAGGGACGGCUAACUCUGUGCCAGCAGCCGCGGUAAUACAGAGGUCCCGAGCGUUGUUCGGAUUCACUGGGCGUAAAGGGUGCGUAGGUGGUGAGGUGUGUCGGAUGUGAAAUCUCGGAGCUCAACUCCGAAACUGCAUUGGAAACUACCUUGCUGGAGGGUUGGAGGGGGGACUGGAAUACUUGGUGUAGCAGUGAAAUGCGUAGAUAUCAAGUGGAACACCAGUGGCGAAGGCGAGUCCCUGGACAACUCCUGACACUGAGGCACGAAAGCUAGGGGAGCAAACAGGAUUAGAAACCCUAGUAGUCC